AGUGAACGCUGGCGGCAGGCCUAACACAUGCAAGUCGAGCGGCAGCGCGUCCGACCACCCUCGGGUGGUCGGAUGGCGGCGAGCGGCGGACGGGUGAGGAAUGCAUCGGAAUCUGCCUCGUUGUGGGGGAUAACGUAGGGAAACUUACGCUAAUACCGCAUACGACCUACGGGUGAAAGUGGGGGACCUUCGGACCUCACGCGAUGAGAUGAGCCGAUGCCGGAUUAGCUAGUUGGCGGGGUAAAGGCCCACCAAGGCGACGAUCCGUAGCUGGUCUGAGAGGAUGAUCAGCCACACUGGAACUGAGACACGGUCCAGACUCCUACGGGAGGCAGCAGUGGGGAAUAUUGGACAAUGGGGGCAACCCUGAUCCAGCCAUGCCGCGUGUGUGAAGAAGGCCUCGGUUGUAA
rnacentral:rRNA from 1 species